CCGCUGGAGAGGGAAGAGCCGCGGCCGCGAGGAUUCCCAGCAGUGACCGCGUGUCGAGAGCCUGCAAGUGGGCCCGAAGCCGUCCCUUUCCCGAUAGCCAAGCAGAAGCAGGACUCGAAGCACCGGGGCUGGGAUGCCCAUGCUGGUGACGCCUUGGGGCUCGCAGUUAUACUUGGCGACCGGUCUACACGGCGAUUCGGUGCUUUCCGGAAUAGCAGAUUCACCUCUCUUUAGACCCACCUUCGUCCUUUGGGGUGUAGCCGGGCCUGCGCUUUCCUGCGAGCCCUGCUGUCACCUGAACAGCCUGAUGACUUCACGCUCAGCCACUGGAGGGCACAGCCACAUCAUUUUUAAAAAAUUCAUUUCCUCACUUAAAGCUGACAUGGUUUGGGGGGAAAUAACAUUUUAAAAAUGUAAAAAGAUAUAUAUAUACGUAUCUCUGAUUAUUCUGAUAUAAACUCAGGUGGGAUUCUUCAAAACAGGAGGCUGCUGCAGUCCCUUCAUUUUACAACUGAGAAAACGAAGGCCUUUUAGCUUGAGAACUCCAGUUGCCCAAGGCGCACAGGUGGUGGGUAAGGACGCUGAUCAUUUAUCCAAAGAAUCCUUCCGUGACCCAGGAGGAUCCGGUGGGAGAGCGGAGCCGUCCACAGCUCAGCCAGGACACAAGAAGGCCCAGGGUGGCAGGAGCCCCACUGUGUGCUGUGGAGGAUGGCAGAGGAAAAGUCAGCAUUGUCCCUAAACUGCAGGAUCAUGUGAUGUGAUGGGAAAAAAUUCUGAGCACAAGACACAGGAAGCGCAGGUCACGGAAACACAUGGUGCCCAGAAGGGCUUAACUAGUUGCAGCUGUGCAGGGCGAUGCGCAGAGUGCCCCAAGGGUGUCCUGAGUGAGGGUGGACGUCCCCUGCCCUUUGGCUUCGUGAAGGCUUCGUGAAGCCUGCCAGGUCACCCUUGUUUUCAUGGAUAGCUUCUUUAGGACACUCCCUCCACCAGUAAUUGACAAAGUCUGCUUCCGUUGAGUGUCUGAUAAAGGAUUCAGUUUACAUGAUUGUUAUGACAGGAUCAGGAAAGAAGACAGAGAUGGAUGUGAGUGGCCCUCAGAAAAAAAGUAUCAAGGGAAACUGAGGAGUCUGUGUUCCGAGUUACAACAUCAGUCCUGUGUUGAAAGCAUAUUGACUUUCCUGAUUUCUCAUGACCACAUUUGAGGAAAGGAGUAAGCACUGGAAUCACCAAAACAGCACGCUUACAGGAGGGCAGUCACCAGCUUCAUCAGCCUUCCAAUUCCACGGAGCCCCUUGAAAAUCCAGGGGCGCAGACUGGCAACAGUAGAGAUUUAAUAGGAGUUUACUGGAGGUUAUACUCCAGUCAAAGAAGAUGGAAACCAGGAAAGAACACUUUUUGGAGAUUAGCACUGGCUCCAGGACCCAAUGAACAGAAGACCCAGACUGAAGGCUUGUGCAUUCAGCCCAGAAAAAAUCCACUUAAAUUCAGAACAAUUAAGGACUGUGGGGAAGAAGGACUUCACACAGUAGUGUGAUUGGAAGGCAGAUAAAUUUCAGGACACAAUGAAAGUUCCUAAGAUUUUUUUAUCCUUUUCCGAAUCUAAAACUAGAGGGAAAAUCAUCUAAAACAAGGUAUAAAGAAAUGGCUCACGUGUGACCCUUAUCUUACUGUGACAUGCAGCAUUUGAUGAGGGAUGCGGGAAAAGAGCCUGCUUUACUAUGAAGGGAGUAGCGUUGCCCCGGGAGCACCAUGGCAGAUGCACAGGACACAGAGGGAAGGAAAUGGCAUCCUAGCAUGGCCCUGGCUCUACAUUGAGCAAUGUAGACAAAAAUCAUAAAGACUGCUCUUAGUUUUCUACUUUUAGAAUCAACCUACAGACAUGUAAGACUUAAUUGUAGUUGUAGAAUAAAAGAUAAUAUAUUAUUGGCUUUCAUAACAAUAAAGUCCUAGCAGUGAUUCACAGUUAUUCUGUGAAAAAGGGUAGGGGAAAAGAGGGAGGAUUGUAAGGCAUUUUAUAUGGACCAAGGGAGUCAAAAGACGUUGACAGAAGCCUAUGGAACAACAUACACACAUAAAUAGAAGGAAUAUAUUGCUUCAAAUGACAAAAAUAGCCAACAUAGGCCGGGUAUGGUGGCUCACACCUGUAAUCCCAGCACUUUGGGAGGCUAAGGUGGGUGGAUCACUUGAGGCCAGGAGUUUGCGACCAGCCUGGCCAACAUGGCGAAACCCUGUCUCUACUAAAAAUACAAAAAUUAACUGGGUGCAGUGGGGUGUGUCUGUAGUUCCAGCUCCUCAGGAGGCUGAGGGAGAAGAAUUGCUUGAACCCGGGAGGUGAAAGUUGCAAUGAGCUGGGAUCACACCACUGCAUCCUAGCCUGGGUAACAGAGUGAGACUGCAUCUGGAAAAAAAAAAAAAAAAAAAAAAAAGCCAACAUAGCAAUUUUUAAAAUAAUAUAUAAUUACCAAAAAUUGGGGAAAAUGGAGAAGGGGAAAGGCAGUUCUAUAAGCAAGAUAAACCUUUAUGUUUUGUAUCAGAAGGUCAAUAAAUAUUGUCUGAAUUUGA